GGGUCAUUUAGAGGAAGUAAAAGUCGUAACAAGGUCUCCGUUGGUGAACCAGCGGAGGGAUCAUUACAGAGUUAUCCAACUCCCAAACCCAUGUGAACUUAUCUCUUUGUUGCCUCGGCGCAAGCUACCCGGGACCUCGCGCCCCGGGCGGCCCGCCGGCGGACAAACCAAAACUCUUGUUAUCUUAGUUGAUUAUCUGAGUGUCUUAUUUAAUAAGUCAAAACUUUCAACAACGGAUCUCUUGGUUCUGGCAUCGAUGAAGAACGCAGCGAAAUGCGAUAAGUAAUGUGAAUUGCAGAAUUCAGUGAAUCAUCGAAUCUUUGAACGCACAUUGCGCCCAUUAGUAUUCUAGUGGGCAUGCCUGUUCGAGCGUCAUUUCAACCCCUAAGCACAGCUUAUUGUUGGGAACCUACGGCUUCGUAGUUCCUCAAAGACAUUGGCGGAGUGGCAGUGGUCCUCUGAGCGUAGUAAUCUUUUAUCUCGCUUCUGUUAGGUGCUGCCCCCCCGGCCGUAAAACCCCCAAUUUUUUCUGGUUGACCUCGGAUCAGGUAGGAAAUACCCGCUGAAC
rnacentral:rRNA from 1 species